UACGUAGGGGGCAAGCGUUGUCCGGAAUCAUUGGGCGUAAAGCGCGUGUAGGCGGCCUUGUAAGUCCGUUCUGAAAGCCCGGGGCUCAACCCCGGGAGGCGGAUGGAUACUGCAAGGCUCGAGUCCGGAAGAGGCGAGUGGAAUUCCCGGUGUAGCGGUGGAAUGCGCAGGAUAAUCAGGAGGAACACCAAUAGCGAAGGCAGCUCGCUGGGACGGUACUGACGCUAAGGCGCGAAGGCUAGGGGAGCG
rnacentral:rRNA from 1 species